AGGCAAGGAAGUUGAGGCUGCAGGCCACGGUGAUUAUAUGAAAGAUCCUAAAACUGGAAAGAAAAUUAACUAUCUAAAGGAACUCCAGUGUGCAAAAAUGGAUGUUGCUGAUUGUAAGGAUAUCAAAUACCUUAAAUGCUUUGGAAAUACGCCACAUGAGAACAAGAUGUGUUACAGCAAAUCUAACACCCAUACAUGUCCGGGUGAUUCUGGUGGUGGCGUGAUAUACAAUAAUAAGAUCUAUGGUGUACACAAAGGUGGUACUUGUGGCUGUGCUGGACCAGAUUUUUCUGUAAAGGUCUGUCCUUACAUUCACUGGAUAACCAAGAAGAUUGAUCCAAAAAGUAAUGGAAAAUAAUAGAAUGAAAAUAACAUUCA